rnacentral:SRP_RNA from 1 species
GCCGGGCACGGUGGCUCAUGCCUGUAAUCCCAGCACUUUGGGAGGCCGAGGCGGGUGGAUCACCUGAGGUCAGGAGUUUGAGACCAGCCUGGCCAACAUGGUGAAACCCCGUCUCUA